AGUGAACGCUGGCGGUAGGCCUAACACAUGCAAGUCGAACGGCAGCACAGUAAGAGCUUGCUCUUACGGGUGGCGAGUGGCGGACGGGUGAGGAAUACAUCGGAAUCUACUUUUUCGUGGGGGAUAACGUAGGGAAACUUACGCUAAUACCGCAUACGACCUACGGGUGAAAGCAGGGGAUCUUCUGACCUUGCGCGAUUGAAUGAGCCGAUGUCGGAUUAGCUAGUUGGCGGGGUAAAGGCCCACCAAGGCGACGAUCCGUAGCUGGUCUGAGAGGAUGAUCAGCCACACUGGAACUUAGACACGGUCCAGACUCCUACGGGAGGCAGCAGUGGGGAAUAUUGGACAAUGGGCGCAAGCCUGAUCCAGCCAUACCGCGUGGGUGAAGAAGGCCUUCGGGUUGUAAAGCCCUUUUGUUGGGAAAGAAAAGCAGCAGGUUAAUACCCCGCUGUUCUGACGGUACCCAAAGAAUAAGCACCGGCUAACUUCGUG
rnacentral:rRNA from 1 species